rnacentral:piRNA from 1 species
UGAACAUCGUGUCUAGGUCAAGGGAG